rnacentral:rRNA from 1 species
UACGUAGGGGGCAAGCGUUGUCCGGAUUUAUUGGGCGUAAAGAGCGUGUAGGCGGCCAGGUAGGUCCGUUGUGAAAACUCGAGGCUCAACCUCGAGACGUCGAUGGAAACCAUCUGGCUAGAGUCCGGAAGAGGAGAGUGGAAUUCCUGGUGUAGCGGUGAAAUGCGCAGAUAUCAGGAAGAACACCCGUGGCGAAGGCGGCUCUCUGGGACGGUACUGACGCUGAGACGCGAAAAGCGUGGGGAGCGAACAGG